ACAGUGGCGUGCUGGCAGGGGGGGCCGGGGGGCCACGGCCCCCCCAGCUGGCAAUUCUUGGGGGGCGCAAAAAUGAAAAUGGGGCGCCGAAUUUUGAAAGUGGGUGGGAAAAAACGCAUUCGAAAAAAUAUAGUUACUUCCGCCAAGAAAAGAUGUUUUUAUAGGCUUAUAAACAGACUAAUCGCAUAGGCGACAAAGUGAUAUAUUAAAUUAUACAGACUAUUUUGUCUAACCGUAUUUGCUAAUUUGAGUUACCUCACGACUCACACAAAAUCGUUCAUAUAGAAACAUGAUCAGUGAUUACACGCAAUGUCUCAUUACCGG